UCUUUGUAUUAUAUGUAAGUUUUGUAAAACUAAAUGUUCUAUUUGCAGUUAUUUAAUUUAAUUAUCAAGUGAUUUUGGAAUUAGUAAUUGAUUUAGUAUCAGCAGAUUUCGUGCCAGCAGCCACAGUUAUAUGAUUGAUACAAGUAAUUAUUAUUGGAUAAAACAGUUAUUAAUAUUUUUGAAAAAUAUUAUACAUUUUUAAGGUGAAAUUUAAUUUUUUUAAAUGUUUUUUUUAUGAAUCUGUGCAACUUGAAUAAUAAACUAGGAUUAGAUACCCUAUUAGUUUAAGUGUAAAUUAAAUCUACCAGGGUUAAAAUAGCUAGGAUCUUUAAACCCAAAGAAUUUGGCGGUAUCUUAUGCCAUUCAGUGGAACCUACCCCAUGAUUGAUACUAUAUGAUAAACUUUACUUAAUUUAUUUGUUUGUAUAUCUCCAUUAUCAGAAAGUCUUUAUAGAGUUAUAGUUUUCUUGAUUUAUAAGUAUAAAGUAUUUCAGGUCAAGGUGCAGUUUAUGAUUAAGAGGAGGUGGGUUACAGUAGAUUUUUGUCUAUAAUGGAUUUAACAUUUAAAUAUUGUUAAUGAAGGUGGAUUUGACAGUCAUCUAAUUUAUUUAAUUUAUCUGAUAUUGGCUCUAAGGUUUGUACACAUCACCCAUCGCUCUCAUUAUUGAUUAUUCUAUUUAAUAAUAGGUAAAAUAGUUUCAAAUUAGGUGAGAUAAGUCAUAACAUAGUAGAUGUACUGGAAAGUGCAUCUAGUAAGAUUUU
rnacentral:ncRNA from 1 species